CACAGAAUUUCCUUUUCCAUCCUCUCAGAUCCUCUAUCUUGGGCCUGGCCUGUGCCCAGGAGCGCAGCGGAUACAGCUGGAGAAGGGCAGGUCCAGUCUUGCUGCUGGGAGACUCCAGUGACAUUUAACCUUCUCUGCAGCCUGAUCAGCAGGCAGCUGGAGGCAGAUGCUUAAUGAAUAGUCCAGGAUCAACUGCUGCCUGCUGAAGUGGUAGUUUAUGAAGCAAGGGAGCAUCCUGGGGAAGAAGCCCUGAGCUGGGAGAAGAAUUCCCCAGACCAGGAUGAAGUUGGCCUUCGCUGCUCAGAGCGGUCGGCGGCGAUAGAAGGAACAAGCUCUGUGCUAAUGAAACCCUAUCUUGGUUUAAUCUAAAGAGGGAUUUCAAUGAUGAAAUAAUGCAUUUGUUCAGUGACCCGACAACAUGGAGCACAGUUGGACGGCUCACCCCAAGGGCCAUCCCUGGAGAGAUCAAAUCUGGUGACUUCACCACAAGCAACUACCAGAAGACCAGUACGGCUGCAACCUGGAUAUUGAAUUUCAUAACUGAAAUCCCCCAGGAGGCCAGGGAGAAAACAAGCAAGGAGGAGCAUGAAUCCAUAGCCCAAUGAUGAGAGCAGUUGCCUGGAAAGAGGAAGUCCCAGGUUCUGGUCUGCUUUGAGGAUUGCUUAUGUGUUCAUCCAUUGAGUCUAUAAUGCAAAGAGCACAUCGAACCAACAUCUUCGACCACUCUGGGUUGCGGGCGUCAGUAUUUAUGAGAUCAGUAUUCGAUGAAACGAAAUGACUGUGUUCAUCUAAUGCUGGAGAAGAUCCUGAUGGAUUCAGGAGCCUACUCCAAGUCUCCUUGAAAUGUCUCUGUUGAUCUCCAUCUGAGAAGGAUCAGACAUAGGCCUUGCAGUAAUUGCAUAACACCUAUUAUCUUUUUCAUGAUGAGGGACUGAGCCCCAAACUUUUACAAUUAAGAACAUAAGGCUCUACCUCUUGAGCUAAAGAACGGUUACCCCCUGUCUGCAAGCAAUAGUGUAACCGUAUCCUCUGUGGAUGAAGCACAGAGGUUGAUGUGAAGCACACAUUGGGGAGUGGAUUACAGCUAUGUAUGCACGAGGUGCACGUGAUACACGGAAAACUUUUCUCUAGGAUAGUGGUCUCCAACCUUUUUAAGCACAAGAUCACUUUUCGAAUUAACGUGCAACCCAGGAUCUACCUCAAAGAAAACGUAGAAAUAACAGUUUAUAUUUAUAUUUAUGCUAUAUAAGGCUGAGAUCAAGUGCUUAAUAUACAUAAUUAUACAUUUUCCUUACUUACCAAGUCUUAGUGUGACACUGUGACAACUAGAGCCUAGGCGGCUCGUUCAGGGAUGUGGGGGGCUCCCACCACUGUGCUCAUGCCAGAGGAGGCCCCAGGGGCAUGUUCCCCCUGAUCUGUGCAUGGGGUGGAGGUGGUUGCUGCUGCGUGCUGGGCUUUGCACCCUGCUGCAGCUGCCCCAGUGCCUGCCAUCACUGGGCUGCACCGUGACCCCUGCCCGCCUGGCAGCUUGACCACGUGGAGUCGCGCAGGUCUGGAGGCAGUGGCAGCUGCACCUGGGUGCAAAGUGCAGCGCACAGUGGCAGCUGCCUCCACCCUGUGCACAGAUUGGGGGGCAUAUGCGCACCCCCUGGGACCUCUGCUGGGGUGUGCACCGUGGUGGGAGUCACCCUGCACCCCUGGAUGAGCCACCCGGGCUCCAAUUGUCCCACCACCUGGCCUGGCUCCAAUCACCCCAGCCCCUGCUCCUGCCCUGCUCCCUCCCUCACCAUAUGGCCUCAA